rnacentral:rRNA from 1 species
UACGGGGGGGGCAAGCGUUGUUCGGAAUUACUGGGCGUAAAGGGCGCGUAGGCGGCCUUCUAAGUCGGACGUGAAAUCCCUCGGCUUAACCGAGGAACUGCGUCCGGUACUGAAAGGCUUGAAUCCGGGAGAGGGAUGUGGAAUUCCAGGUGUAGCGGUGAAAUGCGUAGAUAUCUGGAGGAACACCGGUGGCGAAGGCGGCAUCCUGGACCGGCAUUGACGCUGAGGCGCGAAAGCCAGGGGAGCAAACGGG